rnacentral:rRNA from 1 species
UAGGGAAUCUUCCACAAUGGGCGCAAGCCUGAUGGAGCAACACCGCGUGAGUGAAGAAGGGUUUCGGCUUGUAAAGCUCUGUUGUUAAAGAAGGACACGUAUGAGAGUAACUGUUCAUACGUUGACGGUAUUUAACCAGAAAGUCACGGCUAACUACGUGUCAG